AGUGCAGACUCUGAUGCCAGGCAUUUCCAUGACAAUAUCAGGUUUUUCAACGGCCACUUCUCAUUCACCUCACUAUAUUGUCACCUUGAUAGUGAUACCACUAACAUAUCAAAGCAUCCUAUCUAUACAUUUCGUGCCCAUGGCCAAAUGUACCACAACAUACGGUCAUUCAGCAAACAAGAUGGAUUGGAUCGUAGUCACUUGGAGCUCUACUUCUAUGAUGAUGACCCCAGUUUAGAACAUAGAUAUCGCAGUUGUCGUAAAGAGCAGUGCCAGAAAGACAAAGAAGUAAUCACACAAUUGGUCAACAUGCUUCAUGGCAACCCAUACUCUGAACACCUCCGGAGUAUGGGCCAUGUUGAUGAUGUUGAUGACUAUCGCAUAACACUUAACCUUGACCAGCGGAUGGAUCAAAGAACAUAUAACGCGCCAACCACUUCAGAAGUAGCCGCUAUGUGGGUGGAGGGUAGUGAACGUCGAAGACAAUUCGAUAAUAGCGUCAUCCUACAAGGGAAGAAUAGAGAUAUAUACGGCAUCAAGUCCUACCAUGGAUGCUAUGAUGCGUUGUCGUACCCUCUUUUCUUCCCUAGAGGUGAACUUGGG
rnacentral:rRNA from 1 species